rnacentral:misc_RNA from 1 species
GGAAGGAUCAUUAAUAAAAUAUGGCUCACGCAGCCAGACAUUUAAACCUGUCUGUUACUGCGUGGGUUGUAUACAACCACCUGUUUACCUUUACCUGUUGCUUCCGUGGAAUUACGGGUGCCCUUCCUGUUCGCAGGCUUGGGUUACCUUCCACGGGUGAAUUUUUAAAAUCGUUUUUGUAUGUAUUGUCUGAUCUAAAUUUUUAAUAAAAGUUAAAACUUUCAACAACGGAUCUCUAGGUUCUCGCAUCGAUGAAGAACGCAGCGAAAUGCGAUAAGUAGUGUGAAUUGCAGAUUUCAGUGAAUCAUCGAAUCUUUGAACGCACAUUGCGCCCUUUGGUAUUCCGAAGGGCAUGCCUGUCUGAGCGUCAAUAAAUCAAUCAAACCUUGGUUUGGUAUUGGGAGAAGUGGCAUUGCCUCUCUCCUCUAAGCUAUUGGCGGCGCUAUUUCAGCUUGUAAGAUGUAGUAAGUAAUUUCUCGUCAAAACAACUGGGUGGUUGCCUGCCAAAUGAACGAUUUAUUUUACAGCUUGACCUCAGAUCAGGUAGGGAUACCCCCUGAACUUAAGCAUAUCAAUAAGGGGAGGAAAAGAAACCAACAGGGAUUGCCUCAGUAACGGCGAGUGAAGCGGCAAAAGCUCAAAUUUGAAAUCUGGCGUCUUUGGCGUCCGAGUUGUAAUUUGUAGAGGUAGCUUUGGGUGUACAGCCAGGUUUAUGUUCCUUGGAACAGGACGUCAUGGAGGGUGAGAAUCCCGUAAAUGACUUGGCCAGUGCCUAUGUAUAGCGCCUUCGACGAGUCGAGUUGUUUGGGAAUGCAGCUCUAAGUGGGUGGUAAAUUCCAUCUAAAGCUAAAUACUGGCGAGAGACCGAUAGCGCACAAGUAGAGUGAUCGAAAGGUGAAAAGCACUCCGGAAGGAGAGUUAAACAGCACGUGAAAUUGUUGAAAGGGAAGCGCUUGAGACCAGACUCAGGCAGGGUUGAUCAACCUCCAUUCUUGGUGGUGCACUCUUCUCUGCCCGGGCCAGCAACAGUUUCGGCGGUGGUAUAAAGGUUUAGGGAAUGUGGCUCUCUUCGGAGAGUGUUAUAGCCCUAUUCGUAAUGCUGCCAGUUGAGACUGAGGACCGCGCUUCGGCUAGGUUGUUGGCGUAAUGGUCUUAAGCGACCCGUCUUGAAACACGGACCAAGGAGUCUAACAUCUAUGCGAGUGUUUGGGUGGAAAACCCUUACGCGUAAUGAAAGUGAACGGAGGUAGGAUCCCCUCACGGGGCGCACUAUCGACCGAUCCUGAUGUCUUCGGAUGGAUUUGAGUAGGAGCAUAGCUGUUGGGACCCGAAAGAUGGUGAACUAUGCCUGUAUAGGGUGAAGCCAGAGGAAACUCUGGUGGAGGCUCGCAGCGGUUCUGACGUGCAAAUCGAUCGUCAAAUAUGGGUAUAGGGGCGAAAGACUAAUCGAACCAUCUAGUAGCUGGUUCCUGC